AAAAACUUUUACAAUGUGACGCAAAACUUAGCUUCUGCUAAUUGUUAGUUAGAGCUAAAAGGUUUAGCUAAUCAAUAAAAAAAGUUAUUUUUAUUAUUUUUA
rnacentral:rRNA from 2 species